rnacentral:rRNA from 1 species
GACGAACGCUGGCGGCGUGCUUAACACAUGCAAGUCGAACGGAAAGGCCCUGCUUGCAGGGUGCUCGAGUGGCGAACGGGUGAGUAACACGUGGGUGAUCUGCCCCUUACUUUGGGAUAAGCCUGGGAAACUGAGUCUAAUACUGGAUAGGACCAUGCUGUAGGUGGUGUGGUGGAAAGAUUAGUUUCGGUAAGGGAUGAGCUCGCGGCCUAUCAGCUUGUUGGUGGGGUAAUGGCCUACCAAGGCGUCGACGGGUAGCCGGCCUGAGAGGGUGGACGGCCACAUUGGGACUGAGAUACGGCCCAGACUCCUACGGGAGGCAGCAGUGGGGAAUAUUGCACAAUGGGCGCAAGCCUGAUGCAGCGACGCCGCGUGGGGGAUGACGGCCUUCGGGUUGUAAACUCCUUUCAGCCAUGACGAAGCCCUUGUGGUGACGGUAGUGGUAGAAGAAGCACCGGCUAACUACGUG